GACGAACGCUGGCGGCGUGCUUAACACAUGCAAGUCGAACGGAAAGGCCGUGCUUUUGUGGGGUGCUCGAGGGGCGAACGGGGGAGGAACACGUGAGUAACCUGCCCUUGACUUUGGGAUAACUUCAGGAAACUGGGGCUAAUACCGGAUAGGAGCUCCUGCUGCAUGGUGGGGGUUGGAAAGUUUCGGCGGUUGGGGAUGGACUCGCGGCUUAUCAGCUUGUUGGUGGGGUAGUGGCUUACCAAGGCUUUGACGGGUAGCCGGCCUGAGAGGGUGACCGGCCACACUGGGACUGAGAUACGGCCCAGGCGCCUACGGUAGGCAGCAGUGGGGAAUAUUGCACCAUGCGCGGAGGCCUGAUGAAGCAACGCCGCGUGCGGGAUGACGGCCUUCGGGUUGUAAACCGCUUUCGCCUGUGACGAAGCGUGAGUGACGGUAAUGGGUAAAGAAGCCCCGGCUAACUACGUG
rnacentral:rRNA from 1 species